rnacentral:rRNA from 1 species
UACAGAGGGUGCGAGCGUUUAAUCGGAAUUACUGGGCGUAAAAGCGCACGUAGGUGGCGACGUAAGUCGGGUGUGAAAGCCCCCGGGCUCAACCUGGGGAAUUGCAUUCGAGACUGCAUUGCUGGAGUACGGAAGAGGAAGGCGGAAUUCCCGGUGUAGCGGUGAAAUGCGAGAUAUCGGGAGAACACCCCGUGGCGAAGGCGGCUCUCUGGGGACGGUACUGACGCUGAGACGCGAAAAGCGUGGGGAGCGAACAGG